rnacentral:lncRNA from 1 species
AUUGGCUUGGCGGGUGAGUUUAACGCCUUCAUUGUGCCUCCUUCCUUGGUGGCCUUGAGGCCUAAUCGCUUGGCCUCGUCUAUGGUCACGAAGUUGUCUGUCGCUCUCGUGUCUAGCAGCGCGCGAACGGACUGCCAUUUAUCUUUGCGCUAACAUACAUGAACCCUUUCUUGACGGGUGUGGUUGUUGGCGAUUAAGUGCGCCGAGGCGUUGGAGAGAACCCAUGUAGAGUUGGGGUUCCUCCGAGGACAUUGUGGGGUUGCUAUUUAGUUGGGCAGCAAGAGCGUUGAGCGACUUCUUUUCCGGACAAUCGCGUAGCCAAUGAGGGCCAUUGCAUAUAAAACAUGGGCUUCGCGGUUUCGGUGCCUCCUUCUUGCCCUCCGAUCUACCUUGCCUACUCCUGCUGCUAGGCGGCUUUUUCUGCCCCCAAUCUUUGCGGCUGUUGCCCUUGUCCUUGCGACUCUCUCCUCCCACCUUUGCCUUGGUUGGCCUUUUUGUCUUUAGAUUGGGUAGAGUAUUCAGUGAGCGAUUCCGCAACGGCGAUGGCGUCGUCGAGCGUUUGAACACCACGCCUAUCAAGCUCGGUCCUGGCUCAAUCCUUGAGGCCAUCUUGGAAGUAAAAGAGUGAGUCCUUGUCGGACAUGUCGCUUAUCUCCAACAUGAGGGUAGUAAACUCAUUGAUGUAGUCCCGCAUACUACCCGAUUGUUUGAGGCGACGUAAGCGCGUAGUAAACUCAUUGAUGUAGUCCCGCAUACUACCCGAUUGUUUGAGGCGAUGUAUGCGCGCUUGCGUUUCCUUUUCCGCAUUGUUUGGGACGAAUUGUUUUCGGAGUUCUUGCUUGAAGUUGGCCCAAGUGUCGAUGGUACAGAUUCCCUUGCCCAUCUCGCCAUGCUUGCGACGCCACCAUAGUUGUGCAGCGCCUCUAAGANNNN